UGUGACGCAUUUAGAAGGACCACGCAUCCACGUGCACCUGAAGCUCUCACCCGUACUCAGCAGGUCGCGUGCAGGGCUGAAGCCCCACCAGGUGACGCAGCCAGCGCCCUCAGAUGCCCGUCCAGCACUCAUCCUGUAGCUAGCUAAUUAAUGUGACCGAAAGAAAAAAAAGACAAACCAAGCCGGACACCUGACUUAUCAGUGCAUUGGAUAUUCAUCAUGAAGAUCUAUUUCAGCAUUUCUUGAAAAGACAGAAGAUGAGGCAUGCCACCAAAACCAGAACCACCAAAACAAUGGCUGCUACUGCCCACACAGGAACUGCAAAAUAAAAGAAAGGGUGUCACUGACUCCAACACAACAACAACAACAGCACCAGGGAC